CCGAGUGAGGGCCCUCCGGGUCCAACCUCCCACCCGUGUCUAUUGUACCUUGUUGCUUCGGCGGGCCCGCCGUUUUCGAACGGCCGCCGGGGAGGCCUCGCGCCCCCGGGCCCGCGCCCGCCGGAGACCCCAACAUGAACUCUGUUCUGAAAGUAUGCAGUCUGAGUUUGAUUACCAUAAUCAGUUA
rnacentral:misc_RNA from 1 species